rnacentral:tRNA from 1 species
GUCCGCGUAGCCCAACGGCAGAGGCAAUGCUCUCAAACAGCAUCAAGUGUGGGUUCGAAUCCCACCGCGGACACCA